GCGAAGGGGCGUCAUCGAGACGGCGGCGUAGAGCGGCUCUUGCAAGCCGCUGGCGCCUUCGCGCGGUCUGUCAGCGUGCCCCGCCAGCCAGGUUAUGGAGCACAAAUGUGAUACUUCUGGAUUCAGCAAGAGUUUCACAACAGCAUUUGUCAACCUUGAAGGAAAGUGUAUCCACACGUGAUACAGACAAGAUAAAGAACUCCUUUCUGCUAACUGGAGAGUCUAAUCGGCUCCAGAACCAGAACCACAACCAGCCCCAUGGAAGCAUUAAGUUCCUCUGAGAGGAGUUCAGCGGCAGCUAUCGGUUUUGCCAAGAAGUCAGGGGAGAAAGGCUGACAUUUCAAUCGUAUCAGUUAUGGACUCGCAAAACAGGCCCUCUAAACGAAAAAAUAAGGAAAGACUCAUCCCUGAUCCCUGCAGGAGGCUGUGCAGCUGCACCACGUUCUGCAGGAAGACAUGCUACGUGAGCUACCACCGCUCAGUGAGGUGGUGAGCCCCAACCUCGUAAAUCUAAGACUUCUAAGAAUUCUAUGUCAAAUAAAUAAAAUGC